rnacentral:lncRNA from 1 species
AUUGGGAAUUCUCUUAAUCUGUGCAGCUGGCCUUCUGGUGCUCUGUGCCCUGUCCCUGGUGAGCGGUGCAGGUGCUUCCUGGGGAUAGUACCCGCCGAGGGACAAGGAGUUUUAUGGCUCUCCAUUGGGGCUGAAGUCUUGGAUAUCUUCCUGAUACUGACAGGUGUCAUCCUCCUGGGCUUCAGCAUGAGUUGUUACAGUUCCGGAUGCAGCUGGCUCAACGUGGACGCCUCAGUGGCUAUCCUCAUGGU